AUUGAACGCUGGCGGCAGGCCUAACACAUGCAAGUCGAACGGUAACAGGAAGAAGCUUGCUUCUUUGCUGACGAGUGGCGGACGGGUGAGUAAUGUCUGGGAAACUGCCUGAUGGAGGGGGAUAACUACUAGAAACGGUAGCUAAUACCGCAUAACGUCGCAAGACCAAAAAGGGGGACCUUCGGGCCUCUUGCCAUCGGAUGUGCCCAGAUGGGAUUAGCUAGUAGGUGGGGUAACGGCUCACCUAGGCGACGAUCCCUAGCUGGUCUGAGAGGAUGACCAGCCACACUGGAACUGAGACACGGUCCAGACUCCUACGGGAGGCAGCAGUGGGGAAUAUUGCACAAAGGGCGCAAGCCUGAUGCAGCCAUGCCGCGUGUAUGAAGAAGGCCUUCGGGUUGUAAAGUACUUUCAGCGGGGAGGAAGGGAGUAAAGUUAAUACCUUAGCUCAUUGACGUUACCCGCAGAAGAAGCACCGGCUAACUCCGUG
rnacentral:rRNA from 1 species